rnacentral:rRNA from 1 species
CCUAGCCGACAGGAUGGGGACAACAUUCCGAAAGGAAUGCUAAUACCGAAUGGAGUCCGAGGAUGGCAUCAUCCUUGGAUAAAAGAUGGCCUCUUAACAAUGCUAUCGCCUGUCGAUGGGCCUGCGUCUGAUUAGCCAGUUGGCGGGGUAACGGCCCACCAAAGCGACGAUCAGUAGCCGGUCUGAGAGGAUGAACGGCCACAUUGGGACUGAGACACGGCCCAG